CAUGUCUUUUUGAAUUUAAUUUAAAGUCUGAUCUGCUCAAUGAAAAUUAAAUAGCCGCAGUAUUUUGACUGUGCAAAGGUAGCAUAAUAAUUAGUUUCUUGAUUAGAGGCUGGAAUGAAAGAUUGGACAAGAAAAUUACUGUCUCUUUUUUAAUUUUGUUGAAUUUUAUUUUUAAGUGAAAAAGCUUAGAUUUUUAUAAAAGACGAGAAGACCCUAUAGAGUUUAAUAUACAAUAUUGAUAAAAAUUUAGAAUGAUUUUUUAUUAUUGUUUAUUUGGUUGGGGUGAUUGAAAGAUUUAGAUAAUUCUUUUAAAUAAUAAAUUGAAAAUUUUCAAAAUUUUAAUCUAUAAAUUAUAAAUAUAAAUAAAAUUACCUUAGGGAUAACAGCGUUAUUUUUCUUAAAAGUUCUUAUUAAAAGGAAAGAUUGCGACCUCGAUGUUGGAUUAAAAUAAAUUUUUGGUGCAAUAACUAAAGAAUUAGGUCUGUUCGACCUUUAAAAUUUUACAUGAUCUGAGUUUAAACCGGCGUAAGCCAGGUUGGAUUCUAUCUUUAGAUAGUUAAUAUAUUUUAGUACGAAAGGACCAAAUAUAUAUUAAAUUA
rnacentral:rRNA from 1 species